rnacentral:rRNA from 1 species
CAGUCGCCGCGGGAAUACAGAGGGUGCAGGCGUUAAUCGGAUUUACUGGGCGUAAAGGGCGCGUAGGUGGUUAUUUAAGUGAGAUGUGAAAGCCCCGGGCUUAACCUGGGAACUGCAUCUUAUACUGGGUAACUGGAGUGCAGUAGAGGGUAGUGGAAUUUCCGGUGUAGCGGUGAAAUGCGUAGAUAUCGGAAGGAACACCAGUGGCGAAGGCGGCUACCUGGACUGAGACUGACACUGAGGCGCGAGAGCGUGGGGAGCAAACAGGAUUAGAUACCCCUGUAGUCCCUGUCUCUUAUAC